rnacentral:lncRNA from 1 species
GUCUGUCUAGAAUUCCAAAGGCAAAUGACUCAAGGUAACAGGAAAAAAGAAAAUCCAGUAUCAGGAUAAUCAGAACACCACAGGUUUACAGUUUGUAGAAACUAGAACACGAGCAGCUCUCACUUAAGGUCUGUGAUGGAACUCCAGUGGAGAAAUGGCUGGUACUUUUUCCACCCCUUAAUCAGAUUUUUUUUUAAUUAAAGUAUGUAACCGGUUAUUUUUACUUGAAGUAUUUUGGGGUGGUCUUAACAGGGAAGAGGGUGGGGGAGAAAAUGUUUGUUUCUAAGACUUUCCACAGAUGCUAUAGUACUAUUGACAAACUGAGUUAGAGAAGGAUUGUACUGCUAUGCUGUUGGCACCAAACACCUUCAGGGAUUGGAGCUGCUUUUUUCCUUGGAGUAUUCCCAGUGAAGCUGAAAUAUACAGCACAGUGCAGCUUUGGUUCAUAUUCAGUCAUCUCAGGAGAACUUCAGAAGAGCUUGACUAGGCCAAAUAUUGAAGUUAAGUUUUCAAAUAAUGGAACUUUUUAAGAUGCCUUUUAAAGGGGAGGGGCAAGUUUUGGCAAUUAGUUGGCAGUGGCCUGUUUUGGUUGGGGUUGGGUGGGUUGGGUUUAGGUAAUUGUUUAGUUUAUGAUUUCAGAUAACUCAUGCCAGAGAACUUAAAUACUUAGGAUGGAAAAACUAAAGAAAUCUCACCUCCCAAGUUGGCAAGUAACUCCUGAUCCUCUAGUUUCUUGUUUUACCCCAAUUUUUGAACUGGACAGCUGGGAACUUCAAAGAUUCACUGGAUUUAAAGUGUAGGGCUUGGGAAAGGAAAGUGUUGGAUUGGGGGUUGGUCUAGCCCACUGGGUUGACCAAGAUAAAAACUUGGGGAAUUGUUUAAACACUAAAGUUGUUUGGAUAUGGUAGUGUGUGGUUCUCUUUUGGAAUUUUUUUCAGGUGAUUUAAUAAAACUUAAUACUACUAUAGGAGCUUCAGAGCAAAGGAAGUGGCUUAAUGAUCCUGAAGGGAUUUCUUCUGAUGGUAGCUUUUAUAUUAUCAAACUUUUUUCAGAUAACAUCUUCUGAGUCAUACCCAGCCUGGCAAUAUGAUGGCCUAGAUGGAGAGGGGAACAGCUCCUUGACAGGUUUCUCUAUCAGAAGAGUUGCUUCAUAUCAUCUGGGAGCAGAAAACAGCAGGCAGCUGUUCACAGAUAAGUUUAACUUGCAUCUGCAGUAUUGCAUGUUAGGGAUAAGUGCUAUGUUUAAUAAGAGCUGUGGAGGUCCUAGGUCCCUUACUCAAGGGAUCUCAGGAUUUUGAGGAAUUUUCCCAUCCAGCCUUUUAAAAUGAGACAGGCCUUAUGCCUGUGGGCUUCCAUGAUGGGCUAACUCACUUCACUCGAGGCAAGUAAUUCCUUAAAGCCUCUUGAGAUUAAUACCUUAAUAAUCAAGGAUAAUGUUGAUAAAAUAAAAAUUUGUUUAGCAUUGAUUCUUGAAAACCC